GAUGAACGCUGGCGGCGUGCCUAAUACAUGCAAGUCGAGCGAACAGACGAGGAGCUUGCUCCUCUGACGUUAGCGGCGGACGGGUGAGUAACACGUGGAUAACCUACCUAUAAGACUGGGAUAACUUCGGGAAACCGGAGCUAAUACCGGAUAAUAUAUUGAACCGCAUGGUUCAAUAGUGAAAGACGGUUUUGCUGUCACUUAUAGAUGGAUCCGCGCCGCAUUAGCUAGUUGGUAAGGUAACGGCUUACCAAGGCAACGAUGCGUAGCCGACCUGAGAGGGUGAAGGGGCACACUGGGACUGAGACACGGUCCAGACUCCGACGGGAGGCAGAAGUAGGGAAUCUUCCGCAAUGGGCGAAAGCCUGACGGAGCAACGCCGCGUGAGUGAUGAAGGUCUGCGGAUCGUAAAACUCUGUUAUUAGGGAAGAACAAAUGUGUAAGUAACUAUGCACGGCUUGACGGUACCUAAUCAAAAAGCCACGGCUAACUACGUG
rnacentral:rRNA from 1 species